rnacentral:rRNA from 1 species
UACGUAGGGGGCAAGCGUUGUCCGGAAUCAUUGGGCGUAAAGAGCUCGUAGGCGGUUUGUUGCGUCGGCUGUGAAAUCCCGAGGCUCAACCUCGGGUCUGCAGUCGAUACGAGCAGACUAGAGUGUUGCAGGGGAGACUGGAAUUCCUGGUGUAGCGGUGAAAUGCGCAGAUAUCAGGAGGAACACCAAUGGCGAAGGCAGCUCGCUGGGACGGUACUGACGCUGAGACGCGAAAGCGUGGGGAGCAAACAGG